CCUAUGGGGUGCAGCAGGCGCGAAAACUUUACAAUGCGGGCAACCGUGAUAAGGGAACCUCGAGUGCCUGUACAUGCAGGCUGUUCGGGUGUCUAAAACACACCUGAAGAAAGGGCCGGGCAAGACCGGUGCCAGCCGCCGCGGUAAUACCGGCGGCUCGAGUGGUGGCCACUUUUAUUGGGCUUAAAGCGUUCGUAGCUGGGUUGUUAAGUCUCUUGGGAAAUCUGACGGCUCAACCGUCAGGCGUCUAAGGGAUACUGGCAAUCUUGGAACCGGGAGAGGUGAGGGGUACUUCGGGGGUAGGAGUGAAAUCCUGUAAUCCUCGAGGGACCACCUGUGGCGAAGGCGCCUCACCAGAACGGCUUCGACAGUGAGGGACGAAAGCUGGGGGAGCAAACCGGAUUAGAUACCCCUGUAGUCC
rnacentral:rRNA from 1 species